GCCGCUGCCACCCAGGGUGGACACCCCUGCCGGGGCUCCGGGACAACCAAAACACCACCAUGUGUGAAGAGGUGACCUUCCCCACCUGGACUCCGCCCCCCGGAAUCCAGAGCCAGAGUCUCUCCGGCUUCUUUGAAAGAGUCCAGGAUCUGCGCAGACACUUUACUCCAGCCUUGGCCCAGGACACCAUCCGGGUAGGGGCAGGACCCAGAGGCCCA